rnacentral:lncRNA from 1 species
AUUUCUCGCUCUACUCCAAGAUUAAAGAAUUAAUGACUGCUACAGCUGCUGUCCUUAGCACAUUAAUUACUAUAAAUUGGCUGCAGUCUCAAAAAAAAAAAAUCUACUCACCAACAGGAGUGAGAGGGCGAGGUUGUAGGCAAAGCCUCAGGUACCUAACCUCAAUAAUAAGUCAGUGCAGCAUCAAGCCCAGGAAGGCCUACCUGGGCAUGGGUGCUAGGUUUCCACCUGCAGGCUGAAGCAUGGAGGAAGGAGUAGGGCCAGGUGAGAGACAGGGAAAUAUAUUGUAUGCUCCAGUACACAUGACUCUCCUCAGGGACCUCAUGCCAAAGAAAACUACUCUUGGAUUCAUAAAAGCCGGCACCAUUGCAAGCCUUCAGUCGUUUAUCAGUCCGAGGGCUGUUUUACACGUGCUAAAAUCUGUGCAGACAGGACACAGUGCGUGUGGGUGUUCACACCCACUUGCCCGUCCUGGCUUCCUUGCGCCCUCCCAGGACUCGGGAUACACCCAGCCCCCAGCCCCCAAAUCCUUUCAUAUUCCAUUCCCUUCUCCCACUUCCCUUUUUCUAUCUCUUCUCCAUCCGACUGAGUUUCACAAAUUCUCAGCCCCAACUCAAGCCCCCUCACUCUGGAAGCUGAGGUCCCCCAACUCCUCUUGCUUCCACAGAGCUCACAUCUUUGCCCCCCAGUUUCAGUGUCCCCAGGCUAUGAGCACCCGGAGAUCUGGGCUUGGGAAACUUUCACUAACUCAGUGCUGCUCCUCUCUCAUCUGCUUAUCCAUCCCCUCGCUCCACCCCAGCUUCCUCCUUUUCCUUCACACCCAAACUCUCCCCCUGCCCCCACCUCCGACUCCCCGUCCGCAUCUCCUUUCCUACACAGCCUAUAUUCUGGCUUCUGGACACCAUCGCUCCAAUAAAACUGCUUUCUUGAGGGCAGGCAUUUGGCAGAGCACUUAAGACCCUGCUUGGGACGCCCCCAUUCCAAUAUCACCCUGCCUGGGCUAAUCCUGAUUUCAGCUCCAGACUACUGCUCACC